CAACACUGGCCCGGGGUCUUGGGCACCCCCCACCACGAAGAACACAGGCGUCUUGAAAGAGAGUGGGCCAGUGGUCCUGAUUGCUGGGGGAAAGUGGGUGGUGAUGCCUUUGGUGUUCUGACACUAGCCUGAAAGCAAGCCUCACUCAGGUGACACCAGACACAGUUUGACGUCGUGUCCUUGUGACCAUUUGUCCCUCAGGAGUCCCCUGCACUCCUGGGAGCUGGAAAUUCUGCGUUCACCCAGCUCUGCCACCUGUGAGCCAUGCCAGCUUGAGCAAGCCCUUUGGCCAUUUUCCAUGGCUGGCAGCUUUUUUAACAGCUUUAUUGAGGUAUAACUUACAUUCCAUGAGAUGUACUCAUUUCAAGUGUACAAGCUAAUGAAUUUUAAUAAAUUUACAAAGUUGUGCAACCAUCACCGCAAUCUAAUUUUAGAACAAAUUGCAUUGUCCUAAAAAGAAAUCUGCCCAAGUGCAGCCACUCCCUCCCCUGGCUCGGUUGAGUCUCAGAUUUCUCACCUGUAAAAAUGGGAACUGGUAGCCUAUUUAUUGGCAAGAUUAAGUAACGUCUGUAAAGUUGUUUCAUAAACGUUAGAGUACUUGACAAUUAAAUGGUUUCCGCUAUUAUUAUUACCAUAAUUAUUGGUUAGUGAUUACUCUCCUCUCGUUAGUCUCCACAGGCCCUUAGGAAUUCCACAAACCUCAUGAAAUCGUAGGCCAAGCCUAAUGAUGAAUAUCUGCUCUUUUUCUGAAAGGAUCAGUUUAUUUCAUGAGAAAGGAAUCUGAGAUUCAGAACAAGAAGAAAAGGUUAUGAAUUCUCUGGACAGUCUUGUGGAGCGGUAACCCUUGAACUUCUCCUUUGACUUGGAAGUCGGUAUUGUCUUCCCUUAAAUGCCUUCUUAUCUCAGGAGGGUCAACAAGCCCUUUCUGGGCCAUGGGGAUGCAGUGAUGCAGCACCGGAGGCCAGCACCUGCACUUGGCUCUGGGACCACACCCACUGGAGGAGGUUUUGCUUCUGGAAAAUAA
rnacentral:lncRNA from 1 species